AGAACCUGGCAGGGGAAUACCACGAUCACCAGGCCUCUUGUGCAGUAAGAAGUGGUUUUCCCAGGGUGAGGCCUGUCCCUUGCACUGUGGGCUUGCUGACCCCUGUGAGUUUUUCCAGAUGCAGGAGACCCAACUGCACAAUUUUGCAGUAAUGAGGGAUUUGCUUUCUUGCCUUCUCCCU
rnacentral:snRNA from 1 species